rnacentral:rRNA from 1 species
UACGUAGGGUGCAAGCGUUAAUCGGAAUUACUGGGCGUAAAGCGCACGUAGGUGGCGACGUAAGUCGGGUGUGAAAGCCCCGGGCUUAACCUGGGAAUGGCAUUUGGGACUGCAAGGCUGGAGUGUGGCAGAGGAGACUGGAAUUCCUGGUGUAGCAGUGAAAUGCGUAGAUAUCAGGAGGAAUACCGAUGGCGAAGGCAGGUCUCUGGGCUGACACUGACGCUCAUGCACGAAAGCGUGGGGAGCAAACAG